AAUCAACACAAGGUUUCUUCUCUUGAGAAAGAUGAGGAGCCGACGUAGUCCUGCCAUGCUGCUGUGCUGUCGGUUCGUUUGGAGGAAAUCGGGAACUACAGAACUACUGUGAAGAGAACGGCGCUGGAAGUCAAAGAAAAGAGACCGUACGCAAGGCUGCCAACGAGAAGAAAGUUGGUGCUGUGAAUAACAUUGGCAAACAUCUGGCUGAUGGUGUGGUUCCAGACCACGAGGGUGUAACCAAGAGAAACAAGAAAACACAGAACAGUAAUGGAAAGAAAGGAAAGAACGAAAGCAAACCCACUCAAAGUAGUGAUACAAAGUCCGGCCGUUCGCCUGGACAAAAAGCCGUGGAGGUUUCACGGUAGUCAUCUAGGUGUCAUGACUAGAUACCGUUAAAUGGUUCCAAGCUUUAUUAGUAGUGUGUAUUAUAAACUGAAUUCUGCUAGGAAUUAGGUGUGUAUCUGCAUAGUAGAUACAUUUUCAUUUGAAAUAUUGUCUUCGUUUUUAAAACAUCAUUUGGACGGCUUUGUGCAGAGAUGCGACUGUUUUUGUUCCUCAUAUUUAUAUUGGAAUUAUUUAGAAUAAUAUACAAGGAAUUGUUCCAUCUUUGCGUUUUAUUCCACAUCACACCCAUUAAUCUAUAGGCGCAUUUCGGUUAUAAUCAAAUAAGAUGUUUGAUUGUUUUCUAAAAUGUAUUUUUACAAAGAAUGGUGUGUUACAAUCAUAUAUAUUACUUAAAGUACCUUAAAUUGGCUGUUAUGAAUCAAAUUCCAGUAACUCCUCUGCUUUCUGUUAAGCGGUAUGUUCUCUUUGAACGAUACAUCCCGCAGUUUCCUCUGUAUUUACAGAUAGACUAGGGUGUUACAUUUUAUUUGUAGAUUAUGUGAUAGAACGGAAUUGUAUAAAGAGUACUCCAGUGAUAAAUUGGAUUGGUAUAACGAGUGUUGCAUUGUAUUCCCCGAUUCUGCGAUCGAACGGAAUGAUGCAGGGGAUUUGCUGAUUUUCUCAUAAAAUUAAUUUACUAAUUUUCUGAUAAAAUGGAAUGGUAUAACCAGUGUUGCAGUGUAUUUGCUUAUUUAUUUUGAAAACAAGGUGAAUGGAAUCAUAUAUUUGCUGAUUACUUUGCCGUAUUACUGAC